CCCCCGCCGGUAGCCAUCUUCGUGCAUAGGCAAACUCAUUGUAGCUAGACUGUACAAAGUAUAUCAAGAUAUGCCAAAUAUUGAGCUUAACUUCACCUGUUUGAGAGACGGUGCACAUCAUGGAGACAAUCUGACUGGUACAGAGAAAUGAAGAGACAACAUUUUCUUUCCAAAUCUGAGUGGAGAUGAAGAUUCCUGAAACAACAAUCAAAAGGAACUUUGGACUCUGACUGAGGACGCAUCCAGCAAUGGCAAAGCACUCUAGCCACUGCCCAGACCCAUGGAAACUUCAGGAAGAGGCAGUUCAGCGCUUCUGGUAUUUGUCUAAUCAAGAUUAGGACUGUUAUUUAUCAUCUUCCUCUGGCAUUUUUGCACCAGUCUUCAGGUUUUAGCAUAGCAAAUAUGUUCCAGUCUGUGAAAUCUCUCCGUUUUAUUCCAAAUAAAUAA